GCCAAAUAGACGGGCUAUGGUUCCCCUAUCGUCACGCCAAGCGUGCUGGGGAGAAAUGGGAAUGUGGUUCGAGUGACCCAAGUCGGGACUCAAAUCCACAGCCGCCCCCGCGACUGUAUGCGGUGAGUGCACGCCAUACGCCACUGGACCUUUGGGUUUGGGAAGGCGGCGAGCGCACAUUGACCCGCAAGCCAGGAGACCAGCCGUGGCCUUAUAUCAACC
rnacentral:ncRNA from 2 species